rnacentral:lncRNA from 1 species
CUAGCAAUCAGCAAGACUCUGUGGGCGUAGGACCCUCCGAGCCAGGUGCCGGAUAUAAUCUCGUGGUGUGCCGUUUUUUAAGCCGGUCCGAAAAGCGCAAUAUUCGGGUGGGAGUGACCUGAUUUUCCAGAUAAUUGACAAUAGGCUCCCAUGGAAGUCUUCUGUGCAUUUCUGCAAAAAUUUAGGAAACAUUAGGUUUGACACCAUCAUCAUGUUUGCCAAGGCAGCAAAAAUCCCAGCCGGCAAAGCUUCAAGUGUGAUGAAGCGGAACAGCAAGGACAGCACGGAAUGACUGAUCAUUUCAGAAUGCCGUCUAGCGAGAGUUUCCAAUGUGGGAGUUUUCCAUUGUUUUGAAGCAGGAGAAAUAGGGACCGGCUGCUUUGGAAGAAACAUGCUGUAGAGUCUGUACUUUCCAUCUUCCCUGGAAGCUGCACUCCCCAGUCUGCGGAUUGUUUCUCCUUCUGAAAAUAAAGUUUUCUCCUUUCCUUCCUCUGUGGCUCUCACGGUCUUAG